rnacentral:rRNA from 1 species
UACGGGGGGAGCAAGCGUUGUUCGGAUUUACUGGGCGUAAAGGGCGCGUAGGCGGCGUGGUAAGUCAGCUGUGAAAUCUCCGAGCUUAACUCGGAACGGUCAGCUGAUACUGCUGUGCUAGAGUGCAGAAGGGGCAAUCGGAAUUCUUGGUGUAGCGGUGAAAUGCGUAGAUAUCAAGUGGAACACCAGUGGCGAAGGCGAGUCCCUGGACGAUACCUGACACUGAGGCACGAAAGCUAGGGGAGCAAACAGG